GACGAACGCUGGCGGCGUGCUUAACACAUGCAAGUCGAACGAUGAACUUGGAGCUUGCUCUGGGGGAUUAGUGGCGAACGGGUGAGUAACACGUGAGUAACCUGCCCUGGACUCUGGGAUAACUUCGAGAAAUCGGAGCUAAUACCGGAUAGGACCUUGCACCGCAUGGUGUGGGGUGGAAAGUUUUUCAGUUUGGGAUGGACUCGCGGCCUAUCAGCUUGUUGGUGAGGUAAUGGCUCACCAAGGCGUCGACGGGUAGCCGGCCUGAGAGGGUGACCGGCCACACUGGGACUGAGACACGGCCCAGACUCCUACGGGAGGCAGCAGUGGGGAAUAUCGCACAAUGGGCGCAAGCCUGAUGCAGCAACGCCGCGUGCGGGAUGACGGCCUUCGGGUUGUAAACCGCUUUUAGUAGGGAAGAAGCCUUCGGGUGACGGUACCUGCAGAAAAAGGACCGGCUAACUACGUGCCAGCAGCCGCGGUAACAC
rnacentral:rRNA from 1 species